AGGACAGGGAUGGUAGCGGGGGUGGCGGCUCACACGCAUCCAGGGGAGAAAACAGCAGCAGUGGCCGCGUCGAACUCGCAGCGCCCGAGGAGCUACCAGGUGCCGCGGGCGGGGCCUCCUUUUUAGCUGAUUGGGACACGCAGCCUCGAAGGCCUGGAGGACGUAAUCCCAGCUGGGGUCUGGGAACGGGCAACGCCAUCUUGUACGGAAGCUCCUGGGGCAGGUGAUGCCUACCCAGUCUGUCUCCUCUGUUGAACAAAGAAUCUGUUAAAAUUGGAAGGGCUUAACGUCUUCAGAAAAGUGACGCAUUUGUUUCUGGGAUGGUAAGGUUCAGCAAAGUCUAUGUCAUUCUCUAAUCCUUUUGAUCCAGCGGAUUCUUUGGAGGAAUUUAAAUACAUACUGGAUUUUGCAACCAGGUUUGCAAGAGGAAAAUGCAAAGGUGACUUCUGGGCCUGUUGCCGGGGGAGGGUAGGGGAUGGACAGCUGACAUCUAGUCACAGAGGAAAGAACACAGAAAGAGAUCUCCAGUUAAAGCCGAUAGAUUGAACCACACACAACCCACCUCCUUCUAAAAUCCCUGUAGAACAAUGGUUUAAAAAAGCACUUUAACAUAAAACUUCAAAAUCAAAAAGAUAAGGAAAAUGAUGAAAACCACUCAGGUAAGAAGAGAGGAUAUUUAUGCCGAGGCUGCUGUCAUUGGGAGUCCGCCAACAUGCCACCAUACUUUGGUGAGACUUGAAGGCGGGCAGGGAGUGGAAACACUUUAUGCUGUAGUGAAAAAAGGGGAAGGCUUCAGUAUACUCUGACUGGAGGUCACUGUCAUGGGGAAACUGCAGGUGGGCUAACUAGAAGCUGGGCUUCUUGUGUAAUGGUUUGGCUUUCUCUGGUUGGUCCUGUGUUGAAAAUAGGGGCAAAAUAUAGGGCAACUGACUCAUUGACCAAGCCCUGCCCAGGCUGGCCGAUUGCAGAGGUUGUGGGUCAGAGUUCUGUUGUCAUAUAUGGUCUGGCUACUGUCUGUUUAUAUAAUCCGUCUGUCAGAGAACAGUAGAGGAGAUCAAAUUAUUACCAUUUUGGAAGCUGGAAAGCAGGAUAGUGCGAACUGAAUUAGCAGACUUGCCCUCUAUCAAAGGGGAUGGCCAAAAGCAAGCCAGAUUUGCCCCAGAAAACCACCAAAAGUUCAAGAAUUGGCAGCACCAGGUACCCCCAGAAGCAGGGAUAAAGUGGGGGCUUAAAUUGGACAGUUGGUUCAAAGUCUAUUUCAGAAGCAUUAGAACACUGGAUUCCUUCCCCAGCUCCCAAAUGACUGCCUGGUGCAAGACUCAGGACUGAUUCCCUGGAGAGGGUAAAGCAGAGGGUUCUUUGUCUAGUUAAGGAUGGGGUGCCAUAACAAACAUGCCAAUUCAGUGAAAAUACCUACUUUCAAGACUUCUGCUUGACUCCCCUAAAUCAGCAGCCAAUGUUAGAAGCCAAGUGUUAAAGUUUUUCGGAUAAUUUUGCUAUGAACCUAUAGGGAAAUUUCAUUACCAUCUCAUAGCAAGGCCUAUAGUAUAAGAGCAGGCCUAUAGUAGCAUAUGAGGGAAAGUCUGAAAGACUUUGAAAUGGACCAAAAGAUUAUUGAGAAAUGGAAAACUGCAUUGUUUUAAGUAUCCCCUUCCAGCUUAUCAGAUUCUGUGGGGUUUAUACCUUUCAUUGUCUUUGAGGUAUUUAACAAUUCUGAAGAGAUGGACUCUAACUUGUAGAAAACUAAGAGUAACAUAAAUAAUUAUUGUCUUUAGAUAUACAAAUAAAUUCUGUUCUGAGAAGUUUCUGUUGA